rnacentral:rRNA from 1 species
ACUUACUCUAGGAUAAUGACAACUCUAUUCUGAAAAUCAACUGAUAAAUAAUUUUUUUUAAAUAAACAUAAUAAAUUUAUAACUAAAAAGCUAUAUCUUGUACUUAAUAAAAAAAUGACUCAUACAUGUACCUUUUGCAUAAUGGUUUUACAAGAAAUAUAAAUAACUUACUAAACCCGAAAUUUCAUGAGCUAAAUAAUUACUGUUAACGAACAAUAUUUAAAAUAUAACAAUAUUUAUAAAAAUAAUUAUUCAGGGGCUACAUACCUUUCGCAUGAAAAAAUACCUGGUUGCUUAAAAACUUUACAUAAUAAAACAUUUAUUUUAAUAAUAAAAUGUUAUAAAUAAGAGGACAAGCUCUUACUAUAAUAGCUAAUACUAUAAACCAAACCAAAUAAUAGAUUUAAUACUAAUUAAUUUAUAAUAUAUUAUAAUUAAAUAUAUAUACUUAAAAGAAUAUCUCUGCACAAAUAUAUAAAGCAUGUUCUAUAAACAUUAUUACUAAACAAUACACUGUAAAAAAAAGUAUUUAAAAAUUAUUCUGUAAAAAACUCGGCAAACCUAAUAAAUAAUCCAACUGUUUACCAAAAACAUAGCUAAGAGAUUAAAACUAUUCUUAGUAUUUUCUGCUCAGUGUGAAUACAAUAAAUUGCCGCAGUAUACUAACUGUGCUAAGGUAGCAUAAUAAUUUGUCUACUAAUUAUAGACUAGAAUGAAUGAAAUAAUGAGAUUAUUGCUGUCUCACCGAAUAACUUAAAAAUUUAUCUAAAAGUGAAGAAGCUUUUAUUAAUUUGUUGGACAAAAAGACCCUAUGAGCUUAAAUUAAAUACAAUUUAUAAAAGUCUAAAUCUUAACUGGGGCGAUUGGUAUACAUAAAGCAAUACCUAAUAAUAUGAUAAAUAAAUCUCAUACAAGAUCCAUAUAAUAUGAUCUAAAAUAAAGCUACCGUAGGGAUAACAGACUAAUUUUUUUCUAAAGUCCAUAUCAAAAAAAAAGAUUAGCACCUCGAUGUUGGCUUAUAUAAUUAUUUUAGAGUAAAAACUAAAAAAAAAGGUUUGUUCAACCUAUAAUAUACUACAUGAGCUGAGUUCAGACCGGCGCAAGCCAGGUUAGAUUCUAUCCACAAUAUAAAAUAUAAUUUUUAGUACGAAAGGACCAAAAUUAAAUAAUAAUUAUGACUAAAACAAGUUGACAGAUAAAU